rnacentral:rRNA from 1 species
ACCAUGCAGUCGAGCGGAGAGAGGUAGCUUGCUACUGAUCUUAGCGGCGGACGGGUGAGUAAUGCUUAGGAAUCUGCCUAUUAGUGGGGGACAACAUUUCGAAAGGAAUGCUAAUACCGCAUACGUCCUACGGGAGAAAGCAGGGGAUCUUCGGACCUUGCGCUAAUAGAUGAGCCUAAGUCGGAUUAGCUAGUUGGUGGGGUAAAGGCCUACCAAGGCGACGAUCUGUAGCGGGUCUGAGAGGAUGAUCCGCCACACUGGGACUGAGACACGGCCCAGACUCCUACGGGAGGCAGCAGUGGGGAAUAUUGGACAAUGGGCGCAAGCCUGAUCCAGCCAUGCCGCGUGUGUGAAGAAGGCCUUAUGGUUGUAAAGCACUUUAAGCGAGGAGGAGGCUACUUUAGUUAAUACCUAGAGAUAGUGGACGUUACUCGCAGAAUAAGCACCGGCUAACUCUGUGCCAGCAGCCGCGGUAAUACAGAGGGUGCAAGCGUUAAUCGGAUUUACUGGGCGUAAAGCGCGCGUAGGCGGCUAAUUAAGUCAAAUGUGAAAUCCCCGAGCUUAACUUGGGAAUUGCAUUCGAUACUGGUUAGCUAGAGUGUGGGAGAGGAUGGUAGAAUUCCAGGUGUAGCGGUGAAAUGCGUAGAGAUCUGGAGGAAUACCGAUGGCGAAGGCAGCCAUCUGGCCUAACACUGACGCUGAGGUGCGAAAGCAUGGGGAGCAAACAGGAUUAGAUACCCUGGUAGUCCAUGCCGUAAACGAUGUCUACUAGCCGUUGGGGCCUUUGAGGCUUUAGUGGCGCAGCUACGCGAUAAGUAGACCGCCUGGGGGAGUACGGUCGCAGACUAAAACUCAAUGAAUUUGACGGGGCCCGCACAAGCGGUGGGAGCAUGGUGGUUUUA